UGAAGUAAGUAGCUUCCUCUGGAGC
rnacentral:piRNA from 1 species